rnacentral:tRNA from 1 species
AGAGAGAUGUCAGAGUGGUCGAAUGUGCCUGUCUCGAAAACAGGUGUGGGGCAACUCACCGGCGGUUCGAAUCCGCCUCUCUCUGCCA